AUAAAAAAAGAAUGCUGCUGCUGGCCAUGCCUCAAGGGAACGUACCUUCUAGUGGUCAAGAGACUGAGCUAUGAACUAUUCAGGUAGAUAUUCUUCUUGGACCCAAAAUACUUUUUUAGAAGCAAAGUGAAUUCCGACCUGCUUGCAUAUGAUAUAGGAUGAACACAGACUGCAGCAUCUCUGUUGGUAAGAGUCAACCUUUCGUGUUUUGGCUGAAUUCUUUGGCACCCUCCUACUAGAAUUCAUUUGACUGCAUCUUGUAUUCCUUUGUAGUGUCUACAGGAACUUGACAAUGCCUACGGCUGUCUGUUGUUUUUUUGCCCUCCUUUCGUGAACAUGUAUUUCCUUUCUUCCCUCUGUGCACAGGGCUCACAUUGGCCCACCUAAGUGACUGCUUUAUGUAUCGGGCAAUGUGGAUUUUGGCCCGCGAAAGCUUUCACCACAAUAAAUAAAUUAGUCUUCAGGGCUGCAAGAUUCUCCCUUGUUUUUGCUGCGAGAAGAAAGGGAUUGAACCAUAAACUAAAGGCAGAUCAAAGGGAAAAUAAACACCAGCAAUUUAUUUCAUUUAAGGGUGGAAUUCAGAGUUGAAAUAAGCUUCAAUUUUUUGGGGGGGUUGUUGUUUAAAAACGAGGGGAUUAUAAUGAUAUGUAAAUAAAAGCAGGAACAACAGAAGGCGAGGGCUCCGAACGCUUCAUGAAUAACAUUUCCAUAACUCUGAACAGGGAAUAAAAAUCGUUCUGCUAAAAUUAAGAUGCAUACAUCUUUUGAAAUAACUAAUUGUAGCUCUGGAGCUAGAUCAUUACAUGUGCUGCAGUUUGUAUUAUCUGUAGCCCCCCCUCCUGUUUGUCUUUUCAAUCAAUACAGUUAGUGGGAGAAAAACUUCAGUAACUAACUGGCCGGAACCAAUCAGUUGUUCGAAAUCUGCAACUCUGCAAUGCCUAGGACUGCGGCUGUCAAAUGUUCUACCUUCAAAAUCCCCUUUCCGUAUCAGCUUGUCUGUGGAAGGACCCCUGCACAACGAAUACAGAAACCCUGAUACGCUACAGAGGAUUCUGAAGUAUGUUCAAGGUUGUAUGUGUCACAAGUUGCAUUUCUUGGGGACGGGCCAUAGGUCAGAGAGAGAGCAUCUGUGUGCUGAAGGUCCAAAGUUCAGCAUCUACUUCAUUUCCUUAUUGCGUUUCUAUCCCACAUUUUCCUCUAAGGAGCUUAAGGUAGUAUAAAUGGUUCUUUCUCGCUGCUCAUAUAACAACAACAACAUCAACAACAACAGUUUAUUCUUUAUAUGCCACCCAUAUGACUGGGUCGCUCCAGCCGCUCUGGGUGGCUUCCAGCAAAUUAAACCUCAAACAAAGUAAAACAUUGAACAUUAAAAACUUCCCAAUACAGGGCUACCUCCAGAUGUCUUCUAAAAGUCAGAUACAGUGGCACCUUGGUUCUUAAACGCCUUGGAACCCAAACACUGCAAACCCAGAAAUAAGUGUUCUGGUUUGCGAACUUUGUUCAGAAGCUGAACGUGCUCCAUUUUGAGUGUUAUGCUUCCGAUUUGAGUGUUACACUUCUGUUUUGAGUGCCACACUUUCGUUUUGAGUGUUAAGCUGAGAUCUGUCUGUUUUUGCUAUUUAUUUUGCGUUUUUGUUUUUGCGGCUCUUUUUGCUUUGUUUUUGUGACUGUGUGGAACAAAGUUCAGCUACUGACUGAUUGACUGUCUGACUGCAGUACAUUGUUUUUUGCUUUCAUUUUAUGGAUCAGUGGUCUCAUUAGAUAGUAAAAUUCAUGUUAAAUUGCUGUUUUGGGGGUUGUUUUUAAAAGUCUGGAAUAGAUUAAUCAAUUUUACAUUACUUUCUAUGGGAAGGCAUGCCUUGGUUUUGGAACGCUUUGGUUUUGGAACCAACUUCCGGAAUGGAUUAAGUUUGAGAACCCAGGUACCACUGUAGUUGUUUAUUUCCUUGAUACCUGACUGGAGGGCAUUCCACAGGACGGGCACCACUACCGAGAAGGCCCUCUGCAUGGUUCCCUGUAACCUCACUUCUUGCAGUGAGGGAACCGCCAGAAGGCCCUUGGAGCUGGACCUCAGUGUCCAGGUUGGACGAUGGGGGUGGAAAUGUUCCUUCCAGUAUACAGGCCCAAGGCCUUUUAGGGCUUUAAAGGUCAGCACCAGGACCUGGAAUUGUGCUCGGAAUGUACAUUGAGCCAAUGUAGAUAUUUUAGGACUAGUGUUAUGUGGUCCUGGUAGCCGUUCCGAGUCACCAAUCUGGCAGCCGCAUUCUGGAUUUGUUAUAGUUUCCAAGUCAUCUUCAAAAGUAGCCCCACAAAGAGCACAUUGCAGUAGUCCAAGCGGGAAAUAACCAGAGCAUGCACCACUCUGGCAAGACAGGACAUGGGCAGGUAGGGUAUCAGCUGUCAUACCAGAUGGAGUCGGUAGACAGCUACGCUGUGAGGUAUUUUAGGCUGAGAGGCAGUGACUGGGCCAGGGUCACCCUGGCCUCCCUCUAACUGCCACACCACUAGGCCAGUCAAGGGUCCGUAACCCCAACACAGACCCACUGAUGAGUUAUCUGCACUUGCUGGAGUGAGGAGGUAGACUCACUGAAGAAGGGGAUGUUGUGGAGGGCGUCUCGCCCAAGGACCCUCCAAAACCUAGAGCUAAACCUGGUGAUCACCACUGGUUCCUCCCUGGAGAACUUUGUAUAGGAAGUCUGACCAUUGGUCCAGCUAGCCCAGUGUUGCUCUACACCAGGGGUGAGAGGCCCGCCCCUCGCAGGCCAAGCCUGGCAGGCAAGUGAAGCUCCCCACCUGUCAAUCACCUGGUGUUGUAAUGGGAUUGGGUGACCUUUCCUGCUCUUUUCCUCAGCAUUUUGAACUGAGUGUCUGACGAUCCAACAACUGGAUUAGAAAAUAGUGAUUCCAGGCACCUUCAGAAGCCAAUUUCAGAGCAGUGUGUUGCCCUGUACUUUGAAAGGGGCUUUGUGGGCACCAUUGAUCAACCGAUUUGCGGGUUCUUUAAAGCUCAUUUCUUCAUCAUGCUGCCUAAUGAUAGGGCUGGUUUUGGGGUCUGCAGAGAAUCUACAGGCCGUGGGAUCAGGUGCAUAACACCUGGGGAACCAAGCUGUGAAAAUAACUUCCCAGUCUACGGGAUUGCUUGAUACUUUGAUACUGUCUUUGAGCAAAGGGAAACACAACAACCCCACAGCCUUGGAAAUUGGUUUCUGUCUAUUAAAUAAGUCCAUCUCUCACAGACAUUCUGUGCCGUUUGUGUAUUAAAAUAAGAUUGUUAUAUUUGUGUGUGUGUUUGCGUGUGUGUCCAUAAAGCCCCUGCAAAAUUGCACUUGUCCCUGGAAAUGCUCUUCGGUAACCAAGAGGUGGCACUGCAGAUAUGUUUCACUUUUGCUUUUCAGGAGGUGGGGAGUUUAACAAGAAGAAAGAGUAACAUACACCAGACGACAGAUUUCCCUCCUUCUUCAAACACAUUUCCCUUGCUCUUAUGUAGCUGCGUUUGAACACUAAAUGAUGCGAAGGCCCCGGGGAGUGAGGCCGUAUCUUAAAAUAAUAAUAAAAAUAAAUAAAUGAGAAAGCCACAUGUGAGGCCAGCACAAAUUGUCUGAUGCUGACCUGUCAGAUUUAAUCCGGCCUGAACAUCUUUGUCGGAGAUGAUAGAGGACAUGCUAGCUUGGAAAUUGAGAUUAGCCAAACGAUAGCUGGAUACUGCGGUUUCAAAGCGCUGG